AUUACCACUGGCAAGUUGGCAACACUAGUAUCCCGUCAUGGCUGAAAUGUUGACGAACUGUCAAUUUUAGUGAAAUUUUCUUAUUUUCGCCAUGCCCAGUAAUUUGUGAGUUGUGGUUUUCUAAUGGAUAGUGUUGAUUUUUUUUUUCUAUAAAUAAUUAUAUAUUUUCACGAUGAACGGGUUAAGUUUCAGUGAACUCUGUUGCCUGUUUUGUUGUCCGCCAUGCCCGGGGAAAAUCGCUGCUAAGCUCGCAUUCCUACCUCCAGAACCCACGUAUGCAUUCACACCCGACGAAGCGGGUUCCAAGUUCUCGCUGACACUGACUGAGCGGGCGGAAUGGCAGUACACGGAGCGAGAAAAGGAGAAUAUCGAAGGUUUCUACUCGCGGACGACGCGGGGCAACCGCAUCGCUUGCCUCUUUGUUCGCUGCAGCCCUAACGCACGCUUCACGAUACUGUUCUCGCACGGGAACGCCGUAGAUCUGGGACAAAUGAGUAGUUUUUAUUUAGGACUAGGCACUAGGAUAAAUUGUAAUAUAUUCAGUUACGACUACUCGGGCUACGGGGUGAGCGGCGGCAAGCCGUCGGAGAAGAACCUGUACGCGGACAUCGACGCGGCAUGGCAGGCACUGCGCACGCGCUUCGGCAUCAGCCCGGAGAACAUCAUUCUGUACGGGCAGAGCAUCGGCACCGUGCCCACUGUGGACCUGGCGGCGCGCUACGAGGUGGGCGCCGUGGUGCUACACUCGCCGCUCAUGUCGGGCAUGCGCGUCGCCUUCCCCAACACCAAGCGCACCUGGUUCUUCGACGCCUUCCCCAGUAUCGACAAAAUACCGAAAGUAAACUCUCCAGUGCUCGUGAUCCACGGGACCGAGGACGAGGUGAUCGACUUCUCGCACGGGCUCGCCAUCUACGAGCGCUGUCCACGCGCCGUCGAGCCGCUCUGGGUCGAGGGCGCCGGCCACAACGACGUGGAACUGUUCAACCAAUACCUGGAGAGACUGAAACGGUUCGUCUCCGUCGAGCUGCUCAACUGACAAAGACUGCCGGCCGCGGGCCAGACUACUCAAGGUGCGUCACCGUAGUUGAAGGAGAUCACAGUAUCUAUGGAGAUGGAGAAGGUUCGUCUCCGUCGAGCUGUUCAACUGACAAAGACUGCCGGCCGCGGGCCAGACUACUCAAGGUGACGACCAAAAUCCAGCAUCGACCCUCAGCUCCGGCACCACCAGCUCGGCCACCGAGAGACUCCUCUAGCUAGCGGGGGCCGGGCCCAGCCGGGCCGGCCCCGUCAAAAACUGCACCCCCUCCGCGCGGGAGCCCGCCUCGCCCGCCGCGCCGCCCGCGCCACCCGCGCCGCCCGCGCCGCGCAUCAGCGUCAGCGCCGCCGACGACUCGCCCGCCGACCGGCGCCGCCGCGUGCACCUGCGCUCGCUCAGCGACGUCACGCCCGCCUCGGCCGCGCUCGCGCCCCGCGCCCGCUCCCACUCGGAGCGGCCGCGUGCCUCCCCCUCGCCCUCCCCCUCCCGCCUGCCAGCCCC